rnacentral:rRNA from 1 species
ACAGUGGCGAACGGGUGAGUAACGCGUGAGUAACCUGCCUUUCAGUGGGGGACAACAGAGGGAAACUUCUGCUAAUACCGCAUAACGUGCCUUGGGGGCAUCCCUGGGGUACCAAAGAUUUAUUGCUGAAAGAUGGGCUUGCGUCUGAUUAGAUAGUUGGCGGGGUAACGGCCCACCAAGUCGACGAUCAGUAGCCGGUCUGAGAGGAUGAACGGCCACAUUGGGACUGAGAUACGGCCCAGACUCCUACGGAAGGCAGCAG